GAUGAACGCUGGCGGCGUGCCUAACACAUGCAAGUCGAACGGAAAGGCCCUGAUCUUGUGGGGCGCUUGUGAGGCGAACGGGUGAGUAACACGCGUGUAAACUGCCCUUGACAUUCGGAUAACUUCAGGAAAAUGGGGCUAAUAUCGGAUAGGAGCUUCUGCAGCACGGUGGGGGAUGGAAAGUUUCGGCGGUUGGGGAUGGACUCGCGGCUUAUCAGCUUGAUGGUGGGGUAGUGGCUUACAAAGGUUUUGACGGGUAGCCGACCUGAGAGGGUGACCGGCGUCAUUAGGACUGAGGUACGGCGCAGACUCCUACGGGAGGCAGCAGUGGGGAACAUUGCACAGUGGGCGGGAGCCAGAUGCAACAGCGCCGCGUGCGGGAUGACGUCCUUCGGGUUAUAAACCGCUUUGGCCGGUGACGAGGCGUGAGUGACGGUAAUGGGUAAAGAAGCACCGGCUAACUACGUG
rnacentral:rRNA from 1 species